CACAAAUUCAACAAUCCAACUCAGUGCGGCAGUGACUGUGGCGAGGGAGGGCAUUUCGGCUCGUCGUUUUAUCGAUCUCAUGACAUUGUGUUAUUGUGAUGUUUUUGAUUAAACGUAACUAAUAGUACAUUGUCUACCAAUAUCCGUUUAUAGCCUUCCCCGAGUCUUGUAUUUCGAACAUUCAGACGACGAAUGUGUUAACUUUUACGGUUUAAAGCAUGCUUGAAUCUUACAAAACAUAAAAAUUAGUACGAACGAAGAUUAACGAGUCACUCUAAGAUGUGUUCAUAAAUAAUAGAAACAUAAUUUAUCGAAUCCAUGUAAAUAACUGAACGCAUCCCAAAGAGUAAGACAGCAAUAGAGCUGGUUCCAAAAAUAACUUGGACCAAAAUAGAGAAAAAAUGUCUGGCCCGGAGUCAGUGUUGGGAGAACAGUCGGCGGGUGAGGACGCCGCAUGGUGGCAGACACCAUGGAAAACCAUGGCUGACUUAGCUGAGGCAGUCGACGACCUUAUAUGCAGCUUCGAUUACAUGGACACGGCCAUGGACAAUCUGGUCAUGUUGGUUUUCGUAUGGGUCCUAUUCUCCAUCGUGAUCCUCGGCAUCGCGAGAUGGGGAUACAGCAGGUUCAGUGUGAAGGCUGUAGAAGACAAAACUGAGAAACAGAAAGAUGACAAGAAAACUGCCAGCGAGAUUGUCACCAGCUCGGACAGCGUGUUGGCAACCAGCGCGAAGGUUAAGAGCGCGGCAUUCAAGCCUAGUAAACCGACUAGCUUCGUGCCGGCGACUCCGCCUAACAAGAAGCGACUCGGUCGGAUGUCCCCAGGACCAGAACAGCUCAGCAUCAAGAAGCACAGCAUUAUAGUCCCGACAUGCACAGGCAGCGACCCGGCCAGUGUCCACUGGGUCAACGAGACUCUGACGUGGUUAUAUAAUGAUCUGGUUAUUGUGAACGAACUCGUGCAACAAUGGAUAGUGUCCAUGAACGAGUUCUCCAAGAGAUCCGUGGAAGAGCAAGGCGUCGGUGUGGAAAUUGUCCGUGCUUUAGACAGUCACCCGCCAAACCUCACUAACGUGUUCUGCGAGUGCGACACUAAGGAUGACGUGACCAUAACCUGUGACUGUGAGGCGACUCCGGCCUUCCAGCUGAAGGCGUUCAGCCAACGAGGAGAGAAGGUGGAAGUGUCACACUACAGAGUCAAUGUUAAUAAAUUCCGCGCUCGUCUUCAUAUAAUAUGCGUGACAGAUAAAUUGACGGGCGAGUUGAAAUGUGAUGGGUGGCCGGAAGUGAAGGUGGCCCUCGCGCCUGUGGGACCCCUGAGGCCUAACGCCACUGAGAAUGAUCUGCAGCAGAUAGUGAGUGAUAUAGUAGUGAGUGCGCUCAGAAACACACAACUCUCAUUUAAUCUCGCCCAUUACCCGACCUGUCCGAGACUGAGGCGGUACGCAGCUGAACCCAGCAGACUUCCGCUCCACUAUGACUCCAUGCUACAUUCUGAGCGACCGUACACAUCGACGCCCAACUCCACCGCUGGCUGUCUCCAGCUCCUCGGGGACAAACGUCUGCUGGUGAAAGUCGUUUGCGCCAAGGAUCUGGGAGGAAAAUCUGGUUGUAUGGCGCCCUACUGUGUGGUCGAAAUGGACGAACCUCCUCAGAGGAACCAGACAGCCUUCAAGAGAGAUACCACCAGCCCUGUCUGGGAGGAACACUUCCUCUUCGACCUCUCGGCUCAAACGGCGGAGUUACUGUUCGAGGUCUACGAUCGAGGACCUGUCUCACCUGGAGCCGCGACCGGCAGCACGCAACACAGAUUCCUGGGUCUGGGUCUGGUCGGUAUAGACGAGCUGCUGGCGGCUCCCUCCCAGAGACAGCAGAUAGGACUCCAGACGAGGCCCAUGGAGGAGCACGACGUGAGCGGCAGUCUCACGGUGGAGUUCCUGUUCAUUGAGGGCGCUGACAUCCCUGACCUGGGCUCCAAGCCGUUCAAGAUCAAGGAGAGCCUGAGGACGGUGACGUCACAGGGCCGCACCACCACCACCACCAAGACCACCUUCCAACAGAACGGUCACGACACCGGGCCCCAGCUGACGCAGUCGGCCUUGCAGGAGCUGGAGAUGAGUCCAACUUCACCCGCCAGCAAAUCCACGCUCAUCAUACACUCCGUGCAGCGGGAGCCGACGAAAUCCAUAAAGAUGGAGAUAACCGACUCCGGGAAAUUCAUCGAAGUUGAGAGAGAGGCGACUGAGCGGGGGGACGUAGACAAGGACCUGACCCCGGACAGGGCCGCAGAGGACACGGGCGCCGACAGGGACCCCACGCCCGACCCCUCGCCGGGGAAGAGCGUGAGGAUCAAAGAGAACGGGGCCAAGGCCAACGGCGAGCAGGGCCGAGUGAACCAAGGUGACUUCGUGAAUCAGGAGUCACCCCCAGACCCUGCCCCGAGGAAGAAGAGACGAGACUUCUUUGGAACCAUUAAAAGAAGACUGGGUCGGUCUAGAACCAGGUCGGAUCUGUCCGAUGACCACGUGAGGAGCGUCAGCGCCGAGAGGAACAGUCUAGAUAAGUCGCUGGUCCCGAGCCGCACCGUGUACUCCGCGGGCGCUUCUCCAGCUCAGUCCGGAGACGAGUCCAGAACCUCGAGGAGAUCGUCUCUUAGCGAAGUAUCGGGGUUCAGUACAGCGUCGGCUAGGACGUUCAUCCACGAGGCGUCGACCCUAGUGCUGGAGACCAUAGAGGCCGGCAUCAAGAAGCAUUACCUGGUGCCGCUAACCGUGGCGCAGAGGUCGAGGUGGCGGAGGAAGGGCGUCAAACUGCACAUAUACAAUGAGCAUACUUUCGUCGCUAAACAUCUUAGCGGUGGAACAGUAUGUCCUGUGUGUAACAAGGCCGUCGCCCGGCGUCUCGGUAAGCAGGGCUACGAGUGUCGCGACUGUCUGCUACGCUGCCACAAACACUGCCACGUCCGUGUGCCGGCCGCCUGCCCGCGGUCCACCGUCCGAGACAUGGAGCUAUCCAUGCUCCCAGUGUUAAACGAAUGAACAAGUUGAAGACUGCAAGAAAAAUAUAAAAAAAAUACAAAAAAAAACACACACAAGCUACUCAGGUCCUUUGAACAUAAUGAAGGCUUACAUCUCAUCUCCGUACACCGACAGAAACAUAAGGAUGUUGUGAUCAGCUUCUGCACAAAUAUUUAUUAAGGCCAAUGGAAGUACAACGUACUAUAUUAUUGUGAAGGCUUUUUUACGAAUAUAUCAACGAUGACGGCUAUAUAUUAGGUGUAAGGAGGUCGCCGAGUCCCGCUUCACGUCACCCGCGUUAGUUUAGAUUAGUUCGCUAGGACCCACCAGUUGUUACCUUUCAACGCCAAAGUCGAGGAGAUCGCUACCUCACGAGUUCUGUCAUCACAAUACUAAUUUGUAUGCGCUUGGAGUUCACGCGGCGAGGCCUGGAGCUGCUCGUCACACAGGUAUCGCACAACGCCACGUAUCGUGCUCAAAGCCGCUCGCCGCCGUGACCGUGUAUGAGCGCGCUUCUCUAUAACGAUCUAUUUAUAACUUGUUGUUUGUUCUGUUUCGGUACAUGACAUAUUGUAUAUUAAUGUUGGUUAUAUUAUUUGUAAAGUGAUUAUUUUUUAUUUAAUGUUUAUUUAUGAAUGUUGACGAUGUUUUUCUUCUUUGAUAUGAUUAUCGACUUUUAAUAAAAUGCCUUUUUUUUAA